rnacentral:rRNA from 1 species
UACGUAGGGUGCGAGCGUUGUCCGGAAUUACUGGGCGUAAAGAGCUCGUAGGUGGUUUGUCGCGUUGUUCGUGAAAACUCACAGCUUAACUGUGGGCGUGCGGGCGAUACGGGCAGACUGGAGUACUGCAGGGGAGACUGGAAUUCCUGGUGUAGCGGUGAAAUGCGCAGAUAUCAGGAGGAACACCGGUGGCGAAGGCGGGGUCUCUGGGCCGAUACUGACGCUGAGGAGCGAAAGCGUGGGGAGCGAACAGG